UAGGGAAUCUUCGGCAAUGGACGAAAGUCUGACCGAGCAACGCCGCGUGAGUGAAGAAGGUUUUCGGAUCGUAAAACUCUGUUGUUAGAGAAGAACAAGGACGUUAGUAACUGAACGUCCCCUGACGGUAUCUAACCAGAAAGCCACGGCUAACUACGUGCCAGCAGCCGCGGUAAUACGUAGGUGGCAAGCGUUGUCCGGAUUUAUUGGGCGUAAAGCGAGCGCAGGCGGUUUCUUAAGUCUGAUGUGAAAGCCCCCGGCUCAACAGGGGAGGGUGAUUGGAAACUGGGAGAGUUGAGUGCAGAAGAGGAGAGUGGAAUUCCAAGUGUAGCGGUGAAAUGCGUAGAUAUAGGGAGGAACACCAGUGGCGAAGGCGGCUCUCUGGUCUGUAACUGACGCUGAGGCUCGAAAGCGAGGGGAGCAAACAGG
rnacentral:rRNA from 1 species